GCUUGCUCCCGGGUGGCGAGUGGCGCACGGGUGAGUAAUACAUCGGAACGUGUCCUGUUGUGGGGGAUAACUGCUCGAAAGGGUGGCUAAUACCGCAUGAGACCUGAGGGUGAAAGCGGGGGAUCGCAAGACCUCGCGCAAUUGGAGCGGCCGAUGCCCGAUUAGCUAGUUGGUGAGGUAAAGGCUCACCAAGGCGACGAUCGGUAGCUGGUCUGAGAGGACGACCAGCCACACUGGGACUGAGACACGGCCCAGACUCCUACGGGAGGCAGCAGUGGGGAAUUUUGGACAAUGGGGGCAACCCUGAUCCAGCCAUGCCGCGUGCAGGAUGAAGGCCUUCGGGUUGUAAACUGCUUUUGUUAGGGACGAAAAGGAUCGUGAUAAUACCAUGGUCUGCUGACGGUACCUGAAGAAUAAGCACCGGCUAACUACGUGCCAGCAGCCGCGGUAAUACGUAGGGUGCAAGCGUUAAUCGGAAUUACUGGGCGUAAAGCGUGCGCAGGCGGUUCUGUAAGACAGAUGUGAAAUCCCCGGGCUCAACCUGGGAAUUGCAUUUGUGACUGCAGGACUAGAGUUCAUCAGAGGGGGGUGGAAUUCCAAGUGUAGCAGUGAAAUGCGUAGAUAUUUGGAAGAACACCAAUGGCGAAGGCAGCCCCCUGGGAUGCGACUGACGCUCAUGCACGAAAGC
rnacentral:rRNA from 1 species